GUCAGAGAUCUAACGCUUUGUUUUUGUUUUUUUUAGUAUUCAACUAAAGAAAUGUGAAUAAUGUUGUAUCUUUGCCACAAGCUGUAACAAAGUUCAGAAAGGUACGUGCACUUUCUAAAAGUCUUUUCUCGUUCAUGUAGACAUAACUCUGGUUCAUCCCUUGAGUUAGAUGCUUUUUUAGGCUUCAGUGAUUCAUAGAUCAGUGAUAAGUGUUUAACAAACAAACAAAAAACAUUCCUGUAAAACUUUCAGGUGCAAGGACUUUACUGAAAGUGACUGAACAAAUGACCAACGUCCAAAGCAAAUUCUGAAAGACCUUCAGAAAGCUUUUUAGAAUAAUUACUCAAAACCUCUUCAAAAACUUACAAGAAAAAAUGGCUCCCUGGAAGUCAAAUACAAGUUUGUUAGAAUUGUUGAAACACUGUUUUUGCCCUAUAUACUCCAUUUACACUUAUGUGUGUGCAUAAAUUACUGCAGCCAUUUUACCCAGAAAAUAUGAAACUAUUCAAAAAAUAAAGGGUGGUUUGAGGUUUUUGGAUAGUACUAUUGCUUGCUACAUAGCUUGAAUUGCUUAAUAAUGCACUUAAACUGAAAACUAUUAAUUCUUUAAAAAUAAAUGGUAUGAAGUCCAAAACACAAUCAUAAUUACAACAAAAAUAUGAGUAAAAGCAGAAAGUAGAAUAAAAUAGAACCGCUAGUGCUGCUACAAGUUUGUUUAGAAAGAAGAAAAAAAAAAAAAAAAAAAAAAAAAAAAAAAGGAAGUCAAAUACAAAGACAUGCAUUAUUAAUAACUAUUUUACAGAGCACUGUACAUAUACAGGAUUUCCCCAUAAUAAGGUAUGCUAUUUGCACCAUCUUUGUCAGACAGUGGUGAGAGUCAGAGACGCCGAGGCACAGAAGAAAUCAAAAGAAAAAGCAGUGAGAGAAACUAAAUUAGAGAGGAUAAGGAAAGCCGCUCUUCUACCCAGGAUUCUCCUGCAUCGAAAAUCCUGUUUGAUGAAGCACCAGUGCCUCACUAAUCCAGGACCUCUGGUAAUGGAGGUCAGUGGAAUCCAACUAGUAAAAAAAUAGAAACAAAGGCAGCUGUUUUCCUUUCAAUACUCCUAUCUGACCUCUGUCUUAGCCGAUAUCCUGAAAAGAAAGCCCUUCAUUAAUUUACAGAAUACUGCUAACUGAAAGCUAAGUGUACAAUUUUGUUCAGGCAGCUUUAGCAGUGGGAAAACGAUGUUUUGCUGAUAAGGUCUAAUACCAACUACUUCAAAGGAAAGUUUGAGGCUUACCUGAGGAGGUAGAAGUUGCUCAAGUGUUGAUAGAGGGAUAUCACAUAAAGCCAAGAUGCAUUCAUUCCAUUCUAAUUUAUAUGUACACAUUUUAACAUACAGCAGGGAAGGGAUGCGAUCAGCACAAACAUGUGCCCAUGCACCACCUUUCACUUGAAAUUCAGUAGAUUUUGUUUAGCUGACAAACAAAC
ensembl:lncRNA